rnacentral:rRNA from 2 species
CCUACGGGAGGCUGCAGUGGGGAAUAUUGCGCAAUGGGGGAAACCCUGACGCAGCAACGCCGCGUGGGGGACGAAGGUUUUCGGAUUGUAAACCCCUGUCCUAUGGGACGAUAAUGACGGUACCAUAGGAGGAAGCCACGGCUAACUACGUGCCAGCAGCCGCGGUAAUACGUAGGUGGCAAGCGUUGUCCGGAAUUACUGGGCGUAAAGGGCGCGUAGGCGGUACCCUAAGUUAGAUGUGAAAACCCGAAGCUUAACUUCGGACCUGCAUUUAAAACUGGGGAACUCGAGUGUCGGAGAGGAAAGCGGAAUUCCAAGUGUAGCGGUGAAAUGCGUAGAUAUUUGGAGGAACACCAGUGGCGAAGGCGGCUUUCUGGACGAUAACUGACGCUGAGGCGCGAAAGCGUGGGGAGCAAACAGGAUUAGAUACCCCUGUAGUC